rnacentral:rRNA from 1 species
UACGUAGGUGGCAAGCGUUAUCCGGAAUUAUUGGGCGUAAAGAGCGCGCAGGUGGUUAAUUAAGUCUGAUGUGAAAGCCCACGGCUUAACCGUGGAGGGUCAUUGGAAACUGGUUGACUUGAGUGCAGAAGAGGGAAGUGGAAUUCCAUGUGUAGCGGUGAAAUGCGUAGAGAUAUGGAGGAACACCAGUGGCGAAGGCGGCUUCCUGGUCUGCAACUGACACUGAGGCGCGAAAGCGUGGGGAGCAAACA